rnacentral:rRNA from 1 species
GACGAACGCUGGCGGCGUGCUUAACACAUGCAAGUCGAACGGUAAGGCCCUUCGGGGUACGACGAGUGGCGAACGGGUGGAGUAACACGUGGGUGAUCUGCCCUGCACUUCGGGAUAAGCCUGGGAAACUGGGUCUAAUACCGGAUAGGACCAUGGACUUCACGGUUUGUGGUGGAAAGCUUUUGCGGUGUGGGAUGGGCCCGCGGCCUAUCAGCUUGUUGGUGGGGUAAUGGCCUACCAAGGCGACGACGGGUAGCCGGCCUGAGAGGGUGUCCGGCCACACUGGGACUGAGAUACGGCCCAGACUCCUACGGGAGGCAGCAGUGGGGAAGUAUUGCACAAUGGGCG